rnacentral:sRNA from 1 species
GGUUAUCAUCAUUCCAU